UUGAUUUGUGUGUGUGUGUGUGUGUGUGUGUGGCGAAGUUGCUUUGCACAUGGUUAAUCCCAGAUUUCAACUUAAUUGUAGCUACUGGUUUUGUAAACUUUGGAGAUUGGAACCAUUGCCUUUGGAAAAGAAAUCGAUUUGGCAAAAAGAGAGAGAAUGGCUUCUUUGUGUUAGCGAUCACAUCGUUCAGUAAAUACCUGCUUGGCAAACAUUUCUAGACAGAAUUAAGCUUGAGGUAAUUGAAUUAUUUGUGUAUACGCAAUAUGUAGUGAGCCUGGUUUUUUAGAUAGUUACUCAUUUGUACAAUUUGUAUUCCUGUUUUACAUAAGCCUUGUGGUUCAGCAAGACUAAACCCAAUUAGAUAUUGGUCACUCUUCUAAAUUUACUUCACAUCAGUUUGCAUUUGACAAGUUUAUUGAAAUGUUAUACCCAAAGUUGGCCUUUACUCUAUCUCAAUACUGUGCUAAUGUUAUUAAGGCCGCGUUUGAUGAGAAAAUAUAUCACGCCAAAUUUUGACAUUUAGUUACAACAUCUCUAGGAUGAUCAAUGAACCACAUAUGUGCUAAACCCAAUUGGGAAACCAGGACUAGGAGGGGAUUUUUGGGUGAUAACAUAAUUGUUACAUGUUUUUUCUGACUGGUUUGGCAUUAGUUGCUCAGGUUAUGACUUGCAAACAUAGUUGUUACAUGUUCUUCGUGACUAGUUUUGCAUUUGUUGAUCAGGUUAUGCCAUGUAGACCACGGUCAGACAUUUUCAUCAGCCUUCCAGCUCUCUGUAAACUAGAUAAUAUGCUCCUUGUAAGAUUCGACCUUGCUUUCUUAAAUAUUCUGGUCCAAAAAGCCAUUUCGAAGCUAAUAGCUAUUGUUUGCCUAUAAUAGGAGAUAUUCUUUAGCAAUACGGAGUUUUUGUAUGUUGAUCAAGGGGUUAUAGCCUCAGAAACCACCAAUGGUUUAGCCUAUUUUCACAAGUCUACUCAGUGGUACGUAGGAGGAGAAAUGGUGGCUGCCUGUGCCUUGGUCCUGCCCGACAAUCUACUUGAAGAUACACGAAAGUAGUUGAAUCACAAUCGCGAGUGGGCAACUCAAAUACUAAAAGCUGCCAUGUCCAUCAAUAACAUAGCUUUAGCUGAAAUGGAAGUUCUUGAAUCAUACUUGGAAGCUCUUCCAAAGAAUGGGAGAGCUUGUUUAGGAGAUGUUAUUUACCGGUACAUCACUUUAGACCAUGUUUUACUAUUCAGUGUGUGUGUGUUCCACUGAUUGGUGCCGACACCUCUCUCCACUAGGUAUGAAUAUAUCUACAAAUACAUUUGCUAAACCCUGAAUUGCUCAAUCUCAAAAAAUUAAUCUAUAUUUGGUCUUUGGGAAAAAUGAGCAGUGGCCGGUGCUAAACCUUCAAUGGGAGCAAUUUUUGAAAGUCAAUUAUGAACAUAUUAGGGGCAAUCUUCUCAUGCUAAGGUACAACGUGCAUGGUAAGAUACAUCACUACCCGACAUUAGUUUGGAGGUUGGCCGAGGUCAACAAUCAGUGACGGUGGCAUUGGUAUUAUUUGAAAUGUGUUCCUGAAAAUUCUAUCAAAACUACUCCUUGAUCUAUGUCCCAACAUCACUUCAAGUACUAUUGACAGUGGCAUUGGUUGAUUGGUUGAAAGAGAAGAUCGAUAAUUCAUCACUUUUUGCUCGAGAUGGAGAUUAUGAUCUUGCUAUUGUUGGACGUUGGAUCUCAAUUGAAGUUUUUGCAUUGAUAUCUCCCUUUUUUUGUAGAGCCUUAAUGCUCCUUUUUUGUAUGAAGACAUAUAGCUAGGCAACUUUCCUCCUUGCAAAUGUUGUUAGCAAGAUGAAGGCUAUAGCUAGCUAACUACUUAUAUUUAGACUUAAGUGAUGUUAGAUGAAGUCUCCUACUGCAUGGUUUUUUAUGGAACAAUGUAUGAAUAUAUGGGAGCUUCUUUAUGGCAAUUAAUUGAACUCGA